rnacentral:rRNA from 1 species
GACGAACGCUGGCGGCGUGCUUAACACAUGCAAGUCGAACGGAAAGGCCCUGCUUUUGUGGGGUGCUCGAGUGGCGAACGGGUGAGUAACACGUGAGUAACCUGCCCUUGACUUUGGGAUAACUUCAGGAAACUGGGGCUAAUACCGGAUAGGAGCUCCUGCUGCAUGGUGGGGGUUGGAAAGUUUCGGCGGUUGGGGAUGGACUCGCGGCUUAUGAGCUUGUUGGUGGGGUAGUGGCUUACCAAGGAUUUGACGGGUAGCCGGCCUGAGAGGGUGACCGGCCACAUUGGGACUGGGGUACGGCCCAGACUCAUACGGGAGGCAGGAGUGGGGAAUAUUGCACAAUGGGCGGAGGCCUGAUGCAGGAACGCCGCGUGCGGGAUGACGGCCUUCGGGUUGUAAACCGCUUUCGCCUGUGACGAAGCGUGAGGGACGGUAAUGGGUAAAGAAGCACCGGCUAACUACGU